rnacentral:rRNA from 1 species
GAGGAAUUUUGCGCAAUGGCCGCAAGGCUGACGCAGCAACGCCGCGUGGGUGAAGAAGGCCUUCGGGUCGUAAAGCCCUGUCAGGUGGGAAGAACGACCGGGAAGUGAACAGCUUUCCGGUGUGACGGUACCACCAGAGGAAGCACCGGCUAACUCCGUGCCAGCAGCCGCGGUAAUACGGAGGGUGCGAGCGUUAUUCGGAGUUACUGGGCGUAAAGAGUGCGUAGGCGGUUUGCUUAGUCAGGCGUGAAAGCCCUGGGCUUAACCUGGGAUGUGCGCUUGAUAAUGGCAGGCUUGGGUGUGGGAGAGGUUGGUGGAAUUCCCAGUGUAGAGGUGAAAUUCGUAGAUAUUGGGAAGAACACCGGUGGCGAAGGCGGCCAACUGGACCACAACUGACGCUGAGGCGCGAAAGCGUGGGGAGCAAACA